GCGACCCCAGGUCAGGCGGA
rnacentral:rRNA from 1 species